CCGCCGCGCCGCCGCUCUGCGCCCCGCGGCGCCCCCCGGUCCCGCCCGCCAUGCCCGGCCCGGCCGCGGGCAGCAGGGCCCGGGUCUACGCCGAGGUGAACAGCCUGAGGAGCCGCGAGUACUGGGACUAUGAGGCUCACGUCCCGAGCUGGGGUAAUCAAGAUGAUUACCAGCUGGUUCGAAAACUUGGUCGGGGAAAGUAUAGUGAAGUAUUUGAGGCCAUUAACAUCACCAACAAUGAGAGAGUGGUUGUAAAAAUUCUCAAGCCAGUGAAGAAAAAGAAGAUAAAACGAGAGGUUAAGAUUCUGGAGAACCUUCGUGGUGGAACAAAUAUCAUUAAGCUGAUUGACACUGUGAAGGACCCUGUGUCAAAGACCCCAGCUUUGGUAUUUGAAUAUAUCAAUAAUACAGAUUUUAAGCAACUUUACCAGAUCCUGACAGACUUCGAUAUCCGGUUUUAUAUGUAUGAGCUACUUAAGGCUCUGGAUUACUGCCACAGCAAGGGAAUCAUGCACAGGGAUGUGAAACCUCACAAUGUCAUGAUAGAUCACCAGCAGAAGAAGCUGCGACUGAUAGACUGGGGUCUGGCGGAGUUCUACCAUCCUGCUCAGGAGUACAAUGUCCGUGUAGCCUCGAGGUACUUCAAGGGCCCAGAGCUCCUUGUGGACUAUCAGAUGUAUGAUUACAGCUUGGACAUGUGGAGUUUGGGCUGUAUGUUAGCAAGCAUGAUCUUUCGAAAGGAGCCCUUCUUUCAUGGACAGGACAACUACGACCAGCUUGUUCGCAUUGCCAAGGUUCUGGGUACAGAUGAGCUGUAUGGGUAUCUGAAGAAGUAUCACAUAGACCUAGAUCCACACUUCAACGAUAUCCUGGGACAACAUUCACGGAAACGCUGGGAAAACUUUAUCCAUAGUGAGAACAGACACCUCGUCAGCCCCGAGGCUCUAGAUCUUCUGGACAAACUUCUGCGAUACGACCAUCAACAGAGACUGACUGCCAAAGAGGCCAUGGAGCACCCGUACUUCUACCCCGUGGUGAAGGAGCAGUCCCAGCCCUCUGCAGACAAUGCUGUGCUUUCCAGUGGCCUCACGGCGGCCCGGUGAACACUUGGAAGGCGACGGGUCUGUUGCGGUUCCUCCCACUUUUCCAUAAGCAGAACAAGAACCAAAUCAAACGUCUUAACGUGUGUAGAGAGAUCACGUUCCGUGAGCAGACACAAAAUGGUGGCAGGUUUGGCCAGCACGAACCAGACCAACCGAAGGGCAGCCCACCACCGUAUAUCAAACCUCACUUCCGAAUGUAAAAGGUUCACACGCCUUUGGCUUCCUGUUGACUUCCUCCUGACCCAGAAAGCAUGGGAAAUGUGAAGGGUGACUGUGGGAACCCAGGUGUGGACACUCACAGUUUCUGAAGCAGUUGUGGGGGGAAAGCAAAGAGGCCCCUCAGGGUCGCCACGGCGUCAGUGUCCCUUGGAGCAGCCUCUGUCGUAUCCAAGCAGUUCCACAGGUGUGGGAGCCCUAGACUGUGCCUGGCCCCCGGACACCAGCAAGGAGGGCCUGCAAGCCCACUGCCAGCCGACUUUGUAAGGCCAACAGGACACCGAGUGGAUGGACUUGGGACUUUCCAACAGCAUCGCAGGCCUGGUUUUCUCAAGCAGGCUCUCUCACGCGGCCCUUUUGACUCAAGGCUCUGCAAAUUUCUCGUGGCCUCCCAGGACUCUGGGGGACGGUCUCUCCAUACCUUGAUAUAAUGAGCACACCCCCGAAGCUCCUACAGACAUGGUGCUUUGUGUGUGCACGUUUAUCUACAUGGCACAUCACCUCCGUGUUGACCUGCCGGCAUUUGAGAGCCUUCCCAGAUGAGAAGGGUCACUUCAGAGUAGGUGUUGAUUGACUUGGGAAUUCUUAGAUGCCAUGCAGAACUUGAAUGCUAGCUCCCCAUUUAUCUUCUCAACCAAGGUGCUCUUUAACUUCCCCGUGGGAAAGUCUUGUUUUCCAGAAACCUCUCAAGCAUAUCAGAUAAGUGUCUUUUUUGUGGAUGAUUACUACUGGGUGGGAGAGAGUUAGUGGAAUGAAGGGAAAGGAGGAGUUUUUGCUUAGGCUUUUUUGACCUUGAGAGAAGGGGACAAGGGACCUGCUUACCCAAAAACAGUCUAUAAAGCUCAUCCACAACGUGCUUGGAAAUCCAGAACAUCGAUUCACAUCUUGUCAAUGCUCCUGCUUGAGCUUGGGCUGUUUAAAGUAAUGUUUGUUUAACUUUUCUGACCACCAAAGUAAUAAUAUGCUCAUGGCAAAAAAUUCGAAUGUUACCUAAAAGUCAAUCAUGAAAGCCUUCCCCCACCGCACCCCCCCACCAUCCCGUCACACACACACGCAUACGAAAACUCUUUCUUCCUUUGGAGGUAGCUGUGGUUACAUUUGGCGUAUAUCUUGCAAUUUUUUUCCUUCAUGUUUACUAACAGUUAAAAAAUCAUGACAAUUUUUAUUUUUACAGAUAUGUCACCAGGCUAUACAUUCUUUUUUUGUAACUUGUGUUUUCCCUGAGUUGUGACAAUUUCACUGUUAGCACAUACAGAUCUACCUCACCUGCUCUCGUGGCUGGGUGGUGUCCCUGUGUGUGACAAACCACAGGCAAAGCAAUCUCUGACUGAUGAUAGACUCUCAGCAGAGCUAUUACCAGUACUGCUGCAGUGAACACAUUUGCACAUACAUUUUUACACAGUACAUCGUGUUUGUGAGAUAAAAUCCUAAAAAGGAAUUACUGUGCCAUAUGUUUUGCUUUGUCUUAGGGCAUUGCCAUGAUUCAGAGAAAGCAGCCUUCUCUUUCCUUCCCUCACUGGUGUAGGUUGGAACCAUGAUGCCUUUAGCCAUGGAAUUCUUGUAGGACUCUGUUAGGCACUUGGGACACGGUGCCCAGUCUUUGAGCUUUCCAGGGAAGCAGGAAUGUUUGAGACCUGUAAAAAGAAAAAGGUGUUGGGGCUCCCAUAAGAAAGUUACAAAAUAAAAAUUAAUAAAUGUAAUUACAUGUCUUUCCAAUCCUAUGAGCUUCAUUGUUAUCUGCUUAAAAAAAAUAUUUUUUCAUAAUAGUGAAGUGUCGCAAUCACCAAAUCAAGUAAUUUCAAAAGCAAUUUUUAAAGAUCUUUUCAAGAAAACACAGGGGAAAAGUAACCUUAAAUAUGAAAAAUGGCUACCUUUUAAUAUAUUUGAAAUGCUGUUGGGAAGCCUUCAAAAGUAAGCAUGCAGGGGGCUGGCAAGUGUUAUAAAAUAUCCCUGGGCAGAGGGGUGGGUGUAGAAUGGUGGAGCAACACUUUGAGGAAUAUGCAGCAAGCUUUUAAAAUGUGCAUUUCAGACGCAUGGUACUAAGUGAAGAAGUCAGACUCAAAAGGCUACUUACUAAUUCCAUUUAUGUGACGUUCUGGGAAAGGCAAAAUGUAGGAAAUGGAGAACAGAACUGUGGUUGCCAGGGAUUCAUCAUGGCGGUUGGGAGGUGAUAACAGGAGGAAAUUUGGGGGUUGAUGGAACUGUCUGUAUCCUAAAUAUGGCGAUGGUUGUAUGACUCGGUGCCUUUGUCAAAACUGUACACCCCCCCAAAAAAGUACAUUU